GCGCCGGAGCCCCGCCGCUCGCAGAAGCCCCGCAGGCGCCGGAGGAAAGCCCAGAAGUCCUCCAGCUCCUGGCCGCCGCAGCCCGGCGGGAAAGAUCUCCCCUUCGUGGAUUACUGCCUCGUCGUGGCGAAGGGGCUUGCUUAGCUCAAGGAAGCUGUGAGCUCUGCCGUGCAGGGUCACCCAAGACGGACAGGUCGUAGCAGAGAGCUCUACCACAAACGGGAUCCACUGGAGAAGGAACGGGCCGAUCGCUCCGGUACCUUUGCCAUGAAAACCCCACGGACAGCACCAAAACGGCAAAAACGGCCCCCAUGGGGUCGCCGUGGAUCGGACACCCCUUUGCAACUAACAACAACAAAUAACUCAAGGAAGCCAACAUCUCCACCACCGCUUCCUAUUGUUAUCUCUAUAGUAACAACCCUACGAGGUGGAUCGGGCUGGUUGAGAGGGACUGGCCUAAAGUCACCCAGGCUGGCUUUCGUGCCUCAGGCAGGACUUGAACUCAAGGUCUCCUGCCUUCUAGCCUAGUGCGACAACCAUUGGACCACACUGGCUCUCUAUCCUGGUUUAUUACGGGCUGUUUUUUCUUCCUGCAGACUAUUCUCAUCUACUGUAGCUUUUUUAUCUACCACAUAGUGGGAUUGUUGCUCUGGAAGUGCUUGAUUGGUGCUGCUUGCUUUGCAAUAAAACUGGAUCUGCCGUUUGCUUUCCUUGCUCAAACGAAUAUCCAGGAAGGUUUCCCACAACAUGCUAAAUCUAAAGCGUCAAAGUAGAAUUGCAGGGUUCCUGGAAGCUGCAGCGUGCAAGCAAAGACACUGAAUUAUCGUCUGUAGAAUAUCCUGGCCCUCAAAGGCUGCUCCCACAAACAGCUGGAUUGCACACGAGAUCGACUGCAUCUUGGCCUCAUCAAGCGCUGGCAAGCCCAAAAUUUCGAAAAACUGCCACUACAUGUUCCACAAACAAUAUUCCACUCAUUCACAAACUGCGGGUCAGAUCUGUACGGUAGAACAAAUUCAGAACUCUACAAGAAUUUCAGGCAAAAUAUAGCACAGUUUCCCUCUUCUUUCCACUUUGGUUUUUAAUUGUCUUUUAAUUUGCAUCCUUUUAGUUUUUGAAUGGCCACUGCUGCUGCCUAAUUUGUAUGUGGUUUUCAUUCAGCAUUUUAUUUUAUUCUGUAUAUAUGUAUAUAUAUCAAUUGUAGAUUUUUAGUGCAUUUCAUUGUAAAUAGCCCAGAGAGUUUCAGCUA